rnacentral:lncRNA from 1 species
GAAAACGUGAGAGGCUGUGUCUGAGAGGGAACGUAGCGCUGCGAAGUGUGUGCGUGACGACAGAGGAGAAGACAGAGGGAGCCAGGAAGGGAGGGAGGCGGCAGGGGGGGAGGCCUCUCCUCCCUCCUUCAGCCACAGGCUCUGGAAGGCCCUGCGGUGUGGACUGAGGGACAGGCAGGAGAGCACUCUGGGAGGCCAAGGCAUGCGGAUCACUUGAGGCCAGGAGUUCGAGACCAGCCUGGCCAACAUGGCAAAACCCCGUCUCUACUAAAAAUACAAAAAAUUAGCCAGAUGUGGUGGCAGGUGCCUGUAACGCCAACUACUUGAGAGGCUGAGGCUGGAGAAUCACUUGAACCCAGGAGGUGGAGGUCAGUGAGCCAAGACUGUGAAACUGCACUCUAGCCUGGGCAGAGACUAGAGACUCUAGCCUGGACAGAAUGAGACUGUCUCAAAAACAAACAAACAAAAAAAUUCUGUGUAUGACUAUGAUCCCUUAACUUGAUUUCAUGACCCACGAAUGGAUCUCAACCUACAACUGGAAAAACCCACUACUCUGGAGGAGCUGAUUCCGUACUCUGCUGGAUCUUCAAUUCCUGACCGCUGGAAAUUGGCUGCAAUUUUCCUGGGACCUCCAGGAUAAAUGCCAGGAUCCCAGUUACUGGCAGACUGAGAGAAGGAUGACAGCCCCAAAAGAUCACGAGGUUCCUAUCUGUUCAUAUUUGGUGGGCAGCUUUCGUCUGCAAGAACAAAAUACAAGCCGGGUGAGGCGGCUCACAUCUGUAAUGCCAGUACUUUGGGAGGCCGAGGCAGGCGGAUCACCUGAUGUCAGGAGUUUGAGACCAGCCUGACCAACAUGGCGAAACCCCAUCUCUACUAAAAGUACAAAAUUAGCCAGGUGUAGUGGUGCAUGCCUGUAAUCCCAGCUACUCGAGAGGCCGAGGCAGGAGAAUCGCUUGAACCCGCGAGGCGGAGGUUGCAGUGAGCCGAGAUCGCACCACUGCACUCCAGCCUGGGCGACAGAGAGAGACGCUGUCUCAAAAUAAAUAAAUAAAUAAAUAAAUAAAUCAAUAACAAAAUACAUAACUCAAGCAAUUUAAACAGUGAGGGGUAAAACUGAAAUCAC